UAUAUUUCGCUAUAACUAGUCAGUUUUGUCAAAAAAGACUCAAACAUUGAUAAUUUAUAAUUAGCUUGCAAGUCAAUAAUUCGAUUCAUUUAAAUCUGUAUUCAUACGAUCUGUAAUUUAAGCCUUUAUAGGGACGCUCUACGCAUGGUCUAAGCAUGUUUAGUUAUUAAAAAGAGAAGAAUGUCAACAUUGAAAAGUAUAACAAAGCAACCACAGGAUGUAUCCUUUUCGGUGACUGAUUCUGCCC
rnacentral:lncRNA from 1 species